rnacentral:rRNA from 1 species
CCUACGGGUGGCAGCAGUGAGGAAUAUUGGUCAAUGGGCGCGAGCCUGAACCAGCCAAGUCGCGUGAGGGAAGACGGUCCUAUGGAUUGUAAACCUCUUUUGUCGGGGAGCAAACGACGCCACGCGUGGCGUUCCGCGCGUACCCGAAGAAAAAGCAUCGGCUAACUCCGUGCCAGCAGCCGCGGUAAUACGGAGGAUGCGAGCGUUAUCCGGAUUUAUUGGGUUUAAAGGGUGUGCAGGCGGAAGAUCAAGUCAGCGGUAAAAUUGAGAGGCUCAACCUCUUCGAGCCGUUGAAACUGGUUUUCUUGAGUGAGCGAGAAGUAUGCGGAAUGCGUGGUGUAGCGGUGAAAUGCAUAGAUAUCGCGCAGAACUCCGAUUGCGAAGGCAGCGUACCGGAGCCAGACUGACGCUGAGGCACGAAAGCGUGGGGAUCGAACAGGAUUAGAUACCCGGGUAGUC